rnacentral:misc_RNA from 1 species
GUGAAUCAUCAAAUCUUUGAACGCAUAUUGCACUCCCUGGUAUUCCGGAGAGUAUGCCUAUUUGAGGGUCAUUUGAACUAAUAUACCUUCCUAGAUUUCUAGGUUUUUAAAAUGAGUUGUCCAUUUUUUGUGGUCGCCUAAAAUCCAAGACAAGCUCAUUUUCUUGGGUUGCGUGAUACUUUCAGUUACCUCGUGACUUAACCAGUAAUCAUCGAGCGAGUUAUGAGUUUUGCAAUAGAUAAAAACUACCA